rnacentral:rRNA from 1 species
AGUGGCGAACGGGUGAGUAACACGUGAGUAACCUGCCCUUGACUCUGGGAUAAGCGUUGGAAACGACGUCUAAUACCGGAUACGACAACCGAUCGCAUGGUCUGGUUGUGGAAAGAUUUUUUGGUCAAGGAUGGACUCGCGGCCUAUCAGGUUGUUGGUGAGGUAAUGGCUCACCAAGCCUACGACGGGUAGCCGGCCUGAGAGGGUGACCGGCCACACUGGGACUGAGACACGGCCCAGACUCCUACGGGAGGCAGCAGUGGGGAAUAUUGCACAAUGGGCGAAAGCCUGAUGCAGCAACGCCGCGUGAGGGAUGACGGCCUUCGGGUUGUAAACCUCUUUUAGUAAGGAAGAAGAACUUCGGUUUGACGGUACUUGCAGAAAAAGCACCGGCUAACUACGUGCCAGCAGCCGCGGUAAUACGUAGGGUGCAAGCGUUGUCCGGAAUUAUUGGGCGUAAAGAGCUCGUAGGCGGUUUGUCGCGUCUGCUGUGAAAUCUGGAGGCUCAACCUCCAGCCUGCAGUGGGUACGGGCAGACUAGAGUGCGGUAGGGGAGAUUGGAAUUCCUGGUGUAGCGGUGGAAUGCGCAGAUAUCAGGAGGAACACCGAUGGCGAAGGCAGAUCUCUGGGCCGUAACUGACGCUGAGGAGCGAAAGCAUGGGGAGCGAACAGGAUUAGAUACCCUGGUAGUCCAUGCCGUAAACGUUGGGAACUAGAUGUAGGGACCAUUCCACGGUUUCUGUGUCGCAGCUAACGCAUUAAGUUCCCCGCCUGGGGGAGUACGGCCGCAAGGCUAAAACUCAAAGGAAUUGACGGGGGCCCGCACAAGCGGCGGAGCAUGCGGAUUAAUUCGAUGCAACGCGAAGAACCUUACCAAGGCUUGACAUA